rnacentral:rRNA from 1 species
UCCUGGCUCAGGAUGAACGCUGGCGGCGCACAUAAGACAUGCAAGUCGAACGAACUUAAUCGAAAGUUAACUUUUGAAGCGGUUAGUGGCGGACUGGUGAGGUAACACGUAAGCAACCCUGCCUAUCAGAGGGGGAAUAACAGUGAGAAAUCAUUGCUAAUACCGCAUAUGCUCACAGUAUCACAUGAUACAGUGAGGAAAGGAGCAAUCCGCUGAUAGAUGGGCUUGCGUCUGAUUAGGUAGUUGGUGGGGUAACGGCCUACCAAGUCGACGAUCAGUAGCCGGACUGAGAGGUUGAACGGCCACAUUGGGACUGAGAUACGGCCCAGACUCCUACGGGAGGCAGCAGUCGGGAAUAUUGCGCAAUGGAGGAAACUCUGACGCCAGUGACGCCGCGUGCAGGAAGAAGGUUUUCGGAUUGUAAACUGCUUUAGUUAAGGAAGAUACAAGACAGUACUUAAAGAAUAAGCACCGGCUAACUAUGUGCCAGCAGCAGC